rnacentral:rRNA from 1 species
GAUGAACGCUGGCGGCGUGCCUAAUACAUGCAAGUCGAGCGAACAGACGAGGAGCUUGCUCCUCUGACGUUAGCGGCGGACGGGUGAGUAACACGUGGAUAACCUACCUAUAAGACUGGGAUAACUUCGGGAAACCGGAGCUAAUACCGGAUAAUAUAUUGAACCGCAUGGUUCAAUAGUGAAAGACGGUUUUGCUGUCACUUAUAGAUGGAUCCGCGCCGCAUUAGCUAGUUGGUAAGGUAACGGCUUACCAAGGCAACGAUGCGUAGCCGACCUGAGAGGGUGAUCGGCCACACUGGAACUGAGAAACGGUCCAGACUCCUACGGGAGGCAGCAGUAGGGAAUCUUCCGCAAUGGGCGAAAGUCUGACGGAGCAACGCCGCGUGAGUGAUGAAGGUCUUCGGAUCGUAAAACUCUGUUAUUAGGGAAGAACAAAUGUGUAAGUAACUAUGCACGUCUUGACGGUACCUAAUCAGAAAGCCACGGCUAACUACGU